rnacentral:rRNA from 1 species
UACGUAGGGUGCGAGCGUUGUCCGGAAUUACUGGGCGUAAAGAGCUCGUAGGUGGUUUGUCGCGUUGUUCGUGAAAACUCGGGGCUCAACCCCGAGCUUGCAGUGGGUACGGGCAGACUAGAGUGCGGUAGGGGAGACUGGAAUUCCUGGUGUAGCGGUGGAAUGCGCAGAUAUCAGGAGGAACACCGGUGGCGAAGGCGGGUCUCUGGGCCGUAACUGACGCUGAGGAGCGAAAGCAUGGGGAGCGAACAGG